UACAGAGGGGGCAAGCGUUGUUCGGAAUUACUGGGCGUAAAGGGCGCGUAGGCGGCCCGCUAAGUCGAACGUGAAAUCCCCGAGCUCAACUCGGGAACUGCGUCCGAUACUGGCGGGCUUGAAUCCGGGAGAGGGAUGCGGAAGUUCCAGGUGUAGCGGUGAAAUGCGUAGAUAUCUGGAGGAACACCGGUGGCGAAGGCGGCAUCCUGGACCGGCAUUGACGCUGAGGCGCGAAAGCGUGGGGAGCAAACAGG
rnacentral:rRNA from 1 species